UAAUUAUCCAGACAAGGGGCUAUUGUAUUUAUUAUCAGUUGAAAGCCUGAACUACCUAGAUUGGUAUAUAUAAGCGGGUAAACCUUCGCCACUGUUACAAAUUGUUUCUUAUCAACAGAUAACAUGAAGACCAUUGCAACGUUACUUUUAGUCACUUUCAUGGCUCUAUCCUGGAGUGGCGGGGAAGCCCAGAAUGGGAGUUGCGGUAAUUGUUCGAAUCAAGGGGAAAUCGUUUGUGGUCAUAAUCCUAUAAACAACGCAUAUGUAGAAUUCACAAACGUUUGUUACAUGAACCUAUACAAUUGUUUGACCGGAAACAGUAAGUAUAGUAAAAGAAAGAGAAAGUAAAAGGAAUAUGUGGAAGGGAAUGUGCUUUGAAAAAUAACCAGAAAAAUGAAAUACAAUCUUUUUGUAAUGACGAUACUAAAGCGGAACCUCAAUAUUUUUUGCAGACUACCAAUUCGCCAGAUACGGUCGUUGUCCACGUAAGUCGGAAUGCAAAUUGUGUGACUUCUAAAAUCUAAAACAUUACCCAAAAUGACUAAUAAUUUCGCAUCAUUUUACAGGUAGUGAUUCUGAAUCCCCGAGCUCUAAUGAAACAGACACCUCUGAUCGCCAGUGGUGAUGGUCAGGAAUGGAUCAGAUUAUUUUGAAAACAAAUUUGGAUGAAACUUAAUACAUAUGUUCCAUAUGCAAUAAAUAAAAAUAUGUAUUAGUUAAUAAAUUAUUAAAUUUACGUAAAAUAGCUGUCAUAUUUAUGAAUUAUUUUUUAAAUAAGUAUGAACGCAAUAUAACGUUAUAUCAACGCUAUUUCAUGCAUUCGUGCAUUUAUAAAAAUUAUCUGUAGUUUGAUAACGACACUACGGAAGCUAUAACGUACUCCUACACGACAAAACUGCUGAAAUAACUGCUGCCAAAGUUUGGAAUUGCAGCAGCAUGCAGCCACUGUAUAACGUAAUAUUAAUAAAUUCGAAACUAAUUAAUUAAAAUCUUCUAAUCGUAUACUAA